rfam:Jatropha curcas cultivar GZQX0401 scaffold18_75, whole genome shotgun sequence.
GGGCAAUGAAGAAAUGCUAAUGUGACAGAUGGGGUCUGUCACAAUCAUCUGAAUUUGAAGAUGAUAAAUUGCAGAGCUGAGCUC